ACCUAUGAGGUAGUGUACAAAGCGCGUU
rnacentral:sRNA from 1 species